rnacentral:sRNA from 1 species
GUUGGUGCAGGAUCUUUCAAGCGGUUACUCAGAUGUUAUGGAUCGUCCCCUCCAAGCGGCGAUUCGUUUGCUCCAUGUUCCUUCCUUGAUCGUCAUGCCUGGUGAGCAUCAGGCUCAUCCAGAACUUUUAAGGUUUAAAGGAUAUCCAGCAUGGAAACCGGUACCGUCAAGUGGUUCAACGACUCCAAGGGCUUCGGCUUCAUCACCCCUGACGCAGGCGGCAACGACCUGUUCGCGCAUUUCUCGGAAAUUCAAGGCGGCGGUUUCAAGUCGCUGCAAGAAGGCCAGAAAGUGCGUUACGUCGCAGGCGUUGGCCAAAAGGGCCCCGCAGCGACCAAGAUCGAGCCGAUCUAAUCGAGCCGAUUCGAAUCGCCUAGAAAAAAGCCCCGCUUAGCGGGGCUUUUUUU